AAGAGAUAGAGACAGAGAAAGAGAUAGAGAGAGACAGAGACAGAGAGAGACAUAGAGAGAGACACACACAGAGACAGAGAAAGAGACAGAGAGAGACACAGAGAGAGACAGGGAGAGAGACCAAUUAUCCUCAGAGGGACUGGAGUCAGGCUGCAACAGACCUCUGCUGCUGCUGCUGCUGCUAACUCGCUUCAGUCGUGUCUGACUCUGUGCGACCCCAUAGAUGGCAGCCCACCAGGCUCUGCCGUCCCUGGGAUUUUCCAGGAAAGAGUACUGGAGUGGGCUGCCAUUGCCUUCUCCAGCGUCAGACCUCUACCUGGGGCUAAAAACCAGGCAGGUGCCUUCGCAGGUCUGAGGAAAAUUAUGCAAUCGCUUCAUCAGGAGUGCUUGCCAAAGUGAAGAUGUUUUCUGUCACACAGAACACUCUAGAAAUGCCCCUCUUCCGUGCCUCCGUCCUGAGGUUGUCAGGGACUUUCUCCAGGAGAGACCGGGACCCCAGUGCCCAUCCUGGCCACACACGGUCCAUCUGUAAUCAUCUCCUAGCUUCAGCGUCAGACGGCAGACGAGGGGUGCAUCACGGGAGCCCACACAGCAGGGCUGUCAGCCUGGGCUGGGGGACCACCGAGUCACGCUUCAUCCCCGUCUUCUGCCUGUGCCUCCGUCAGGGGGACCACCGAGGCCCGUGCCGCUGUCUCACUCCGCCUGUGGCUCCUGGGGCCACAGCUCAGCGAUGUCCCGUCUCCAGGAGGUCCAGUCUCCUCUGGGUUCUGCUCGACACUCUCUCACCCUCGUGGCCCCUGGAGCUCCUGUGACCAGCACCUCAAGUCUGUGUCCUUGGUCCAGGACACCCACCGACCUGGGAUGGGACGACCGCAGCCUCUGGACCCCAGUUCUCUCGUGCUGUAGGGUCUGGAGCCGCCGGGAGGGGUCAGGCCGGUUGCUGGGCCUUCUCGGGCCUCUCCGGUCUGGCUUUCCCCCGAGUGGCGCCGGCUCUGGCUCCACGCUGGUGCCCAGGCUGUGGGCGAGAUGCUCAGGGUCCAACUCCCUCCAUCCUGGUCAGGUGCACAGUGGCCCCAAGGCAUGAGCUCCGAGGCUGAGUGCUUACCCGGCCCCGAGAGGCAGGGUCGGGCCUGGGACUCUGUGCUGUCCUUGGCCAGCAGGCCCUGGCUCUCGGCAGGUCAGAGGUCCCCUGCUUUUCUGGAGGCCAGCAGGCUCCUGAAGACUCCGGCAAGCCUUGUGCAUGCUGGGGGGCUGACCAGGGAGCGGGCACCUCUGGUGAGGGGGGCAGCCCUGUGCCGAGAACUCACCCAAGGCUUCCCUUAGUCCCACACCCAUGCUCAGGACCGAGCUGGCAAAAUGGGAGGAGCGGGGCACAGGAGGUGUGCCUGGAUGGUGGGGGAGGGGUCUGGCCGGGUCUGUGACCCCAGACUGUUCGGAGCUGCUCGGAGCCGAGCCCUCUCUCCCUGGGGGUCCCACGAGCUCACCCUGGCAGCUCCAGACAACUAUUUUUCUUCUGGGAAUCAGUAAAUUCGCACUAAUUUCCCUAAACAUUA